UGCAUCCCGCAGGACCUGGAGCUCCCCUGCUUCACCAACGUUAAGAAGUGAAGCCGUUACCUUUUAAACUUGCGGCCACUGAAUGUUACCGCGAGGCGCAGGUGUAGCUGCGCGUGCGAAUAAUUUAAUCAUAGUCCAACGGCUAUCUAUCUACUCCGUAAUAAACCGAUUCUUAAACACUGACAUUACGCAGUCUAAAUAUCCAGAUUAAUUUUGAGGUGGCAGUCUGCAGUGAGACAACCCAGCAUGGAAAGACCAAGACAAUGACAAUGUCCACCCUUAUGCCUUCAAUCGGUGACUUGCUCAUAGAAGCGCAGAAGGAUGGAGGAUGUGGGACUGAACAGGGAGGCCCUCCAUGGAUCUUCUGGAGCAGAAGGGCUCAGCCCUGAUUUUGGAAACAGGAUAAUGGAACCUUCAGUUCCCCUGGGAGAAAUAUCAUUGAGACCGCGUGGAAGCUUUUCAGAUACGAUGACAGGAGUAGCCCCGCCCGUUGGUGAGAGGGGUGUGUCUUCAUGUGCUCGCAGUUCAGAAUGUCCAGUGACGUUCUGCAGCCGUAGUGCAGCCUCCGCUGUCCGUGCAGAGCGCAGACGAGCGCAGACGAGCGCAG